GAGAGAUAGAGAGAGAGAGAAGUGGGAGGGAAGACGAAUUUCCGAAAGCUGAUAGAACACUGAAGAGAGAGAGAAGAGAGAGAGAGUCACAAAGUUCGGAAUUGAAGAUAAAAGUUAGCCCUUAUCUUUAAUUCUCUAGCCUUCUGACUUCACCCGAUCCGUUUCCAUGGAUCCCUUCGAUUUGUUUCGUAAAGGUUUUGGUUGAGGCUACAAAAACUUUAGCUUUUCCCUACAGGGUUUUCUCUUGUCAAAUACAUGUGAGCAUCCUAUUUUGUAUUAGCUAAUAAUGAACAUGUCCAAGAAAGGAACGCAAGCCAAUGAGGUAAAACUAAAC
rnacentral:misc_RNA from 1 species